rnacentral:rRNA from 1 species
AGAGUUUGAUCCUGGCUCAGGAUGAACGCUGGCGGCGUGCGUAACACAUGCAAGUUGAACGACGGUGCCAUGAAGUGGUAACACGGAGUGGUAUACGGAGUAGCGGACGGGUGAGUAAAGCAUGAGAAUCUGUCCUGUCGAGGGGGAUAACGUUCGGAAACGGACCCUAAUACCCCAUAGUCCGAGAGGUUAAAGGCAGAGAUGCGCGACGGGAGGUACUCGUGUCCUAUCAGCUAGUUGGUGAGGUAACGGCUCACCAAGGCGACGACGGGUAGCCGGCCUGAGAGGGUGACCGGCCACACUGGAACUGAGAUACGGUCCAGACUCCUACGGGAGGCAGCAGUGGGGAAUAUUGGGCAAUGGGAGGAAUCCUGACCCAGCGACGCCGCGUGAACGAAGACGGCCUUCGGGUUGUAAAGUUCUUUUAUGUGGGAAGAAGGAAGUGACGGUACCACAUGAAUAAGCCCCGGCUAACUACGUGCCAGCAGCCGCGGUAAUACGUAGGGGGCGAGCGUUGUCCGGAAUUACUGGGCGUAAAGGGCACGCAGGCUGUGCUUCAAGUCAGCUGUAAAAGGAUGCGGCUUAACCGUGUUAUGCAGUUGAGACUGAGGUGCUGGAGUACCGGAGAGGCAAGUGGAAUUCCCAGUGUAGCGGUGAAAUGCGUAGAUAUUGGGAAGAACAUCGGUGGCGAAGGCGACUUGCUGGACGGUAACUGACGCUGAGGUGCGAAAGCCAGGGUAGCGAACGGGAUUAGAUACCCCGGUAGUCCUGGCUGUAAACGAUGAAUGCUAGGUGUGCGAGCAGAGAUGUUGGUGUGCCGCAGUUAACGCGAUAAGCAUUCCGCCUGGGGAGUACGGUCGCAAGAUUGAAACUCAAAGGAAUUGACGGGGGCCCGCACAAGCGGUGGAGCACGUGGUUUAAUUCGAUGCAAACCGAAGAACCUUACCUGGGUUUGACAUGUAUGUGGUAGGAGCCGGAAACGGUGACGACGCUGCUUUCGGGUAGUGAGCAUACACAGGUGCUGCAUGGCUGUCGUCAGCUCGUGUCGUGAGAUGUUGGG